CAAUACAUACCGUGAUUUGCGGGGUGCCCGUCGUUUUCAGACCUUUCUUGUGGGGCCUAUAUUUAAUAUGGGAUCUAUAUAAGAACCCGCAAAAUAUGUGCGCCUUAAAUGUGUUAACUUUCAUACUGGAAGCAUCCUAUAGCAAUUACGCGCAAGUCGGUCUUAAAUUGAAAUUAAAAUAGAGUUGUCUCCCCUACUCCAGGUCAGUAAAGAACCCAUCUCUACAUCAUCUAGACGCUUGCACAUUGUGUCACACCGGUCUUACUGACGUCACCAUUUAUGUAUAGAAUGGACGCUUGCAUAGAACCCGCAAUUUUAUGUAUGCCCCGCAGUUAAAGCGCGUGAAGUGAUAUAGAACACGAAGAUCAGAAAAUGGCGGCAGUUAACGGGUGUUACAUGUGAUAUUGAAAAUUAAUAGAUCUACAGUACUCAGUAAUGAUGUAUUUCAAGGAAAUGAGACCAAGAAGAAAGAAACAGGAGAAUGUGGCAGCAGACUGCAUUGAUUCAGGGGAGGACCUCAAAGAUUUUGUUAUUGAACAUAUACCACCAAAAGGUCUUGGUGUUAGAACAACAAUAAAUAGAACAAAAGGAGAUUUCUUAAUGAUUUAUUCC